UGACAUCAUUUACGCAUCUGC
rnacentral:siRNA from 1 species